UGCAAGUCGAGCGAACAGAUAAGGAGCUUGCUCCUUUGAGGUUAGCGGCGGACAGGUGAGUUUUGCUGGGUAACCUACCUAUAAGACUGGAAUAACUCCGGGAAACCGGGGCUAAUGCCGGAUAACAUUUAGAACCGCAUGGUUCUAAAGUGAAAGAUGGUUUUGCUAUCACUUAUACAUGGACCCGCACCGUAUUAGCUAGUUGGGAAAGGAACGGCUUACCAAGGCAAAGAUACAUACCCGACCUGAGAGGGUGAUCGGCCACACUGGAACUGAUGGCGGUGGGACUCCUACUGAAGGCCCAGCCGGAAUCUUCCGAAUGGGCGAAAGCCUGACGGACUUUGCCGCGUGAGAGAUGAACGUCUUCCGAUCGUAAACUCUGUUAUUAGGGAAGCCAAAUGUGUAAGUAACUGUGCACGUCUUGACGGUACCUAAACAUAAAGCCACGGCUAACUACGUGCCAGCAGCCGCGGUAAUACGUAGAAAUCCCGCGUUAUCCGGAAUUAUUGGCCUUUGAGCGCGCGUAGGCGGAUUCUUAAGUCUGAUGUGAGAGCCCACAGCUCAAACGUGAAGUUCCAUUGUAUUCUGAGAAACUUGAGUGCAGAAGAGGAAUCUGUAAUUCCAUGUGGACCGUGGAAAUGCGCAGAGAUAUGGAGCGAACACCAGUGGAUACCGUGACUUUCUGCUCUGUAACUGACGCUGGUGUGCCAAUGCGUGGGGUAUCUCAUUCGGAUUAGAUACCUCUGGUAGUUCCACGCUCGCCAAACUGAUGAGUGCUG
rnacentral:rRNA from 1 species